CUCAGCUACAUAUUGGUUCAGAUUAUUAACAAAUCAGGAAGGAGGGAAAUAUUCUGGAAGUCCUGGAGUCUCUCUGUCUGUCACAGAGUGAUAAGUCACCCCACCUACAUCUGGUACAAGAACGGACACAAAGUAAAGGAGGACACCUCCAGCCUGGACUCAGACUCCUUUAGUGAUGCAGACAGUUAUUCCUGUGCUGUAAAAGGCCAUGAGGAUCUCCUCUCUCCUGCAGUGUGUCAGAAGUGUUGGAGUGUGACUUACACCCAUCAGAGUAUCUGUGCUUUGAAGGGGUCAACAGUGGACAUAUCCUGCUCUUACACAUAUCCCAGUUAUCAUGAGAUCAAACAAGCUUUCUGGUUUACUAAAUGGUCUGGUCUGGAGGCUGAAGAUCUGAGCUCAGUGCCAGGGUAUGAGGGUCAUAUAGAGUACCUUGGGGAUAAGGAGAGUGACUGUACCCUGAGAAUCACAGACCUGAGAUUGAGUGACUCUGCUGGGUACAUGUUCAGAUUCAUAACAUCUGGAGGAAGUGAGUUUUCUGGCUCACCUGUCUCCCUGACUGUCACAGAUGUUGUGUUGGAGAUGUAUCCUACAUCUGUG